UACGUAGGUCGCAAGCGUUGUCCGGAUUUACUGGGCGUAAAGAGCGCGCAGGCGGUCGUUCAAGUCGAGUGUGAAAGCCCCCGGCUCAACUGGGGAGGGUCACUCGAUACUGAUCGACUUGAAGGCGGGAGAGGGAAGCGGAAUUCCCGGUGUAGUGGUGAAAUGCGUAGAGAUCUGGAGGAACACCGAUGGCGAAGGCAGCCUUCUGGGCCAACACUGACGCUCAUGCACGAAAGCGUGGGGAGCAAACAGG
rnacentral:rRNA from 1 species